rnacentral:rRNA from 1 species
UUAAGUUAAUAAGGGCGCACGGUGGAUGCCUUGGCACUAGGAGCCGACGAAGGACGUGACAAACGACGAUAUGCCUUGGGUAGCUGUAAGUAAGCGAUGAUCCAGGGAUUUCCGAAUGGGGGAACCCAACAGGUAAUACCUGUUACCCACAUCUGUUUAAGGAUGUGAGGAGGAAGACGCAGUGAACUGAAACAUCUAAGUAGCUGCAGGAAGAGAAAGCAAAAGCGAUUGCCUUAGUAGCGGCGAGCGAAACGGCAGAAGGGCAAACCGAAGAGUUUACUCUUCGGGGUUGUAGGACUGCAAUGUGGACUCAAAGAUUAUAGAAGAAUGAUUUGGGAAGAUCAGCCAAAGAGAGUAAUAGCCUCGUAUUUAAAUAGUCUUUGUACCUAGCAGUAUCCUGAGUACGGCGGGACACGUGAAAUCCCGUCGGAAUCUGGGAGGACCAUCUCCCAACCCUAAAUACUCCCUAGUGACCGAUAGUGAACCAGUACCGUGAGGGAAAGGUGAAAAGCACCCCGGGAGGGGAGUGAAAUAGAACCUGAAACCGUGUGCCUACAACAAGUUCGAGCCCGUUAAUGGGUGAGAGCGUGCCUUUUGUAGAAUGAACCGGCGAGUUACGUUAUGAUGCGAGGUUAAGUUGAAGAGACGGAGCCGUAGGGAAACCGAGUCUGAAUAGGGCGCCUUAGUAUCAUGACGUAGACCCGAAACCAUGUGACCUACCCAUGAGCAGGUUGAAGGUGCGGUAAGACGCACUGGAGGACCGAACCAGGGCACGUUGAAAAGUGCUUGGAUGACUUGUGGGUAGCGGAGAAAUUCCAAACGAACUUGGAGAUAGCUGGUUCUCUCCGAAAUAGCUUUAGGGCUAGCGUCGACAUUAGAGAUUCUUGGAGGUAGAGCACUGUUUGGGUGAGGGGUCCAUCCCGGAUUACCAAUCUCAGAUAAACUCCGAAUGCCAAUGAAUUAUGGUCGGCAGUCAGACUGCGAGUGCUAAGAUCCGUAGUCGAAAGGGAAACAGCCCAGACCACCAGCUAAGGUCCCAAAAUAAUUGUUAAGUGGAAAAGGAUGUGGGGUUGCACAGACAACUAGGAUGUUAGCUUAGAAGCAGCUAUUCAUUCAAAGAGUGCGUAAUAGCUCACUAGUCGAGUGACCCUGCGCCGAAAAUGUACCGGGGCUAAAACAAUUUACCGAAGCUGUGGAUACCUUUAUAGGUAUGGUAGGAGAGCGUUCUAUGUGUGAUGAAGGUAUACCGUGAGGAGUGCUGGAACGCAUAGAAGUGAGAAUGCCGGUAUGAGUAGCGAAAGACAGGUGAGAAUCCUGUCCACCGUAAGACUAAGGUUUCCAGGGGAAGGCUCGUCCGCCCUGGGUUAGUCGGGACCUAAGGAGAGACCGAAAGGUGUAUCCGAUGGACAACAGGUUGAUAUUCCUGUACUAGAGUAUGUAGUGAUGGAGGGACGCAGUAGGCUAACUAAAGCAGACGAUUGGAAGAGUCUGUCUAAGCAGUGAGGUGUGAAUUGAGUCAAAUGCUUAAUUCUAUAACAUUGAGCUGUGAUGGGGAGCGAAGUUUAGUAGCGAAGUUAGUGACGUCACACUGCCAAGAAAAGCUUCUAGCGUUUAAACAUACUCUACCCGUACCGCAAACCGACACAGGUAGUCGAGGCGAGUAGCCUCAGGUGAGCGAGAGAACUCUCGUUAAGGAACUCGGCAAAAUGACCCCGUAACUUCGGGAGAAGGGGUGCUGACUUUAAGUCAGCCGCAGUGAAUAGGCCCAAGCAACUGUUUAUCAAAAACACAGCUCUCUGCUAAAUCGUAAGAUGAUGUAUAGGGGGUGACGCCUGCCCGGUGCUGGAAGGUUAAGAGGAGUGCUUAGCGUAAGCGAAGGUAUGAAUUGAAGCCCCAGUAAACGGCGGCCGUAACUAUAACGGUCCUAAGGUAGCGAAAUUCCUUGUCGGGUAAGUUCCGACCCGCACGAAAGGCGUAAUGAUUUGGGCACUGUCUCAACGAGAGACUCGGUGAAAUUUUAGUACCUGUGAAGAUGCAGGUUACCCGCGACAGGACGGAAAGACCCCAUGGAGCUUUACUGCAGUUUGAUAUUGAGUGUCUGUACCACAUGUACAGGAUAGGUAGGAGUCUAAGAGAUCGGGACGCCAGUUUCGAAGGAGACGCUGUUGGGAUACUACCCUUGUGUUAUGGCCACUCUAACCCAGAUAGGUGAUCCCUAUCGGAGACAGUGUCUGACGGGCAGUUUGACUGGGGCGGUCGCCUCCUAAAAGGUAACGGAGGCGCCCAAAGGUUCCCUCAGAAUGGUUGGAAAUCAUUCGCAGAGUGUAAAGGUAUAAGGGAGCUUGACUGCGAGAGCUACAACUCGAGCAGGGACGAAAGUCGGGCUUAGUGAUCCGGUGGUUCCGUAUGGAAGGGCCAUCGCUCAACGGAUAAAAGCUACCCUGGGGAUAACAGGCUUAUCUCCCCCAAGAGUUCACAUCGACGGGGAGGUUUGGCACCUCGAUGUCGGCUCGUCGCAUCCUGGGGCUGUAGUCGGUCCCAAGGGUUGGGCUGUUCGCCCAUUAAAGCGGCACGCGAGCUGGGUUCAGAACGUCGUGAGACAGUUCGGUCCCUAUCCGUCGCGGGCGUAGGAAAUUUGAGAGGAUCUGCUCCUAGUACGAGAGGACCAGAGUGGACUUACCGCUGGUGUACCAGUUGUCUUGCCAAAGGCAUCGCUGGGUAGCUAUGUAGGGAAGGGAUAAACGCUGAAAGCAUCUAAGUGUGAAACCCACCUCAAGAUGAGAUUUCCCAUGAUUAUAUAUCAGUAAGAGCCCUGAGAGAUGAUCAGGUAGAUAGGUUAGAAGUGGAAGUGUGGCGACACAUGUAGCGGACUAAUACUAAUAGCUCGAGGACUUAUCCAA